UGUGGUGUAGAGGAUUUGCGUGGUUUGAGUUGCGGCAGCAGUCAGACUAGGCUACACUAGAGCGACAUUGGGAUUGUUCUGUAACAGGGCCGUGAACAAGGCUGGGUGAAUUGGGGACAGGUGAAGCCCCUGUGUGACAUUGGGAUUGUUCUGUAACAGGGCUGUGAACAAGGCUGGGUGAAUUGGGGACAGGUGAAGCCCCUGUGUGACAGUGGGGUUGUUCUGUAACAGGGCCGUGAACAAGGCUGGGUGAAUUGGGGACAGGUGAAGCCCCUGUGUGACAGUGGGGUUGUUCUGUAACAGGGCCGUGAACAAGGCUGGGUGAAUUGGGGACAGGUGAAGCCCCUGUGUGACAGUGGGGUUGUUCUGUAACAGGGCCGUGAACAAGGCUGGGUGAAUUGGGGACAGGUGAAGCCCCUGUGUGACAGUGGGGUUGUUCUGUAACAGGGCCGUGAACAAGGCUGGGUGAAUUGGGGACAAGUGAAGCGCCUGCGUCAGACAUGCUGUAUGAUUUACCUCUGAAGAAGC